GAUGAACGCUCGCGGCAGGCCUAACACAUGCAAGUCGAGGGAUAAGCCUUCGGGCUAAGACCGGCGCACGGGUGCGUAACGCGUAUACAAUCUGCCUUUUAUCCGGGGGAGAGCCCGAAGAAAUUUGGAUUAAUACCCUAUGGUAUAAGAGCACGGCAUCGUGCACUUAUUAAAGCUACGGCGGUAAAAGAUGAGUAUGCGUUCUAUUAGCUAGUUGGAGAGGUAACGGCUCCCCAAGGCGACGAUAGAUAGGGGUUCUGAGAGGGAUGUCCCCCACACUGGUACUGAGAUACGGACCAGACUCCUACGGGAGGCAGCAGUGAGGAAUAUUGGACAAUGGUCGGAAGACUGAUCCAGCCAUGCCGCGUGCAGGAUGACGGCCUUAUGGGUUGUAAACUGCUUUUGUAAGGGAAGAAUAAGGAGUACGUGUACUUUGAUGACGGUACCUUACGAAUAAGCAUCGGCUAACUCCGUG
rnacentral:rRNA from 1 species